rnacentral:tRNA from 1 species
GGUCCUGUAGCUCAGUCGGUAGAGCACGGCACUGAAAAUGCCGGUGUCGGCAGUUCAAUUCUGCCUGGGACCACCA